GAUGAACGCUGGCGGCGUGCCUAAUACAUGCAAGUCGAGCGAACAGACGAGGAGCUUGCUCCUCUGACGUUAGCGGCGGACGGGUGAGUAACGCGUGGAUAACCUACCUAUAAGACUGGGAUAACUUCGGGAAACCGGAGCUAAUACCGGAUAAUAUAUUGAACCGCAUGGGUCAAUAGUGAAAGACGGCUUUGCUGUCACUUAUAGAUGGAUCCGCGCCGCAUUAGCUAGUUGGUAAGGUAACGGGUUACCAAGGCAACGAUGCGUAGACGAACUGAUGGGGUGAUAGGCCACACUGGAACGGAAACACGGUCCAGACUACUACGGGAGGCAGCAGUAGGGAAUCUUCCGCAAUGGGCGAAAGCUUGACGGAGUAACGCCGAGCGAGUGAUGAAGGUCUUCGGAUCGUAAAGCUCUGUUAUUGGGGAAGAACAAAUUUGUAAGUAACCAUGCACGUCUUGACGGUAACUAAUCAGAAAGCAACGGCUAACUACGUG
rnacentral:rRNA from 1 species